AUUGAACGCUGGCGGCAGGCCUAACACAUGCAAGUCGAGCGAGCGGCGGACGGGUGAGUAAUGUAUGGGGACUGCCCGAUAGAGGGGGAUAACUACUGGAAACGGUAGCUAAUACCGCAUACUAUCGGAUAACCCAUAUGGGAUGAGCUAGUUGGUGCGGUAAUGUCUCACCAAGGCGACGAUCCCUAGCUGGUCUGAGAUGAUGAUCAGCAACACUGGUACUGAGACACGGCCCAGACUCAUACGGAGGCAGCAGUGGGGAAUAUUGCCUAAUGGGGGAAAGCCUGAUGCAGCCAUGCCGCGUGUAUGAAGAAGGCCCUAGGGUUGUAAAGUACUUUCAGUCGGGAGGCGUUACCGACAGAAGAAGCACCGGCUAACUCCGUGCCAGCAGCCGCGGUAAUUC
rnacentral:rRNA from 1 species